UUCAUCAUGGGACAAUUUACAAUGUUCAAUUUAACUGCCAGCUGAUAUCUCUUUGGACUGUGAGAGGAAACCAGAGUACCUGGAGGAGUCCCACAUGGUCACGGGGAGAACAUACAAACUCCUUACAGACAGCGGCAAGAACUGAAGCGAACAUAUUUGCCAAUGAGAGAAAGCCAUGUCAUUAGUGUACAAGAUGAUGAGAGGCAUUGAUCGUGUGGAUAGUCAGAGGCUUUUUCCCAAGGCUGAAAUGGUUGCCACAAGAGGACACAGAUUUAAGGUGCUGGGGAGCAGGUACAGAGGAAAUGUCAGGGGUAGGAUUAUGAACCGUUAUCCUGUGAGGAAAAUGAAAAACUACUUCAAGAAUUUGUAAAGCAGAAGGGAUACAAUUUGAUGAUAUUUCAGCCCAGG